AGCGAACGCUGGCGGCAUGCUUAACACAUGCAAGUCGCACGGUCGGGGCAACCCGGCAGUGGCGGACGGGUGAGUAAUAUAUCGGAACAUGUCCGGAAGUGGGGGAUAACGUAGCGAAAGUUACGCUAAUACCGCAUAUGCCCUGAGGGGGAAAGGAGGGGAUCGCAAGACCUUUCGCUUUCGGAGUGGCCGAUAUCAGAUUAGCUAGUUGGUGAGGUAAAGGCUCACUAAGGCGACGAUCUGUAGCGGGUCUGAGAGGAUGAUCCGCCACACUGGAACUGAGACACGGUCCAGACUCCUACGGGAGGCAGCAGUGGGGAAUUUUGGACAAUGGGGGCAACCCUGAUCCAGCCAUGCCGCGUGAGUGAAGAAGGCCUUCGGGUUGUAAAGCUCUUUCAGCCGGAAAGAAAACGUGCAGAUUAAUACUCUGUAUGGAUGACGGUACCGGAAGAAGAAGCACCGGCUAACUACGUGCCAGCAGCCGCGGUAAUACGUAGGGUGCGAGCGUUAAUCGGAAUUACUGGGCGUAAAGCGUGCGCAGGCGGUUUUUUAAGACAGACGUGAAAUCCCCGGGCUUAACCUGGGAACUGCGUUUGUGACUGGAAGGCUAGAGUAUGGCAGAGGGGGGUAGAAUUCCACGUGUAGCAGUGAAAUGCGUAGAUAUGUGGAGGAAUACCGAUGGCGAAGGCAGCCCCCUGGGUCAAUACUGACGCUCAUGCACGAAAGCGUGGGGAGCAAACAGGAUUAGACACCCUGGUAGUCCACGCCCUAAACGAUGUCAACUAGGUGUUGGGGGAGGAGACUUCCUUAGUACCGCAGCUAACGCGUGAAGUUGACCGCCUGGGGAGUACGGCCGCAAGGUUG
rnacentral:rRNA from 1 species